rnacentral:lncRNA from 1 species
AUUCCAACCGCUGGGGGACAUUGGAAGGCAAUCAAAAUGAAACUUCUAGUUCUUUUUGCCGUUCUUGUAAUGGCUUCUUGCGAGGUGAAGUCAGAAAAGGAACUAGAAGUGACACCAGCAUGGGCGAAUGAAACACUCUUCGGCAAAAAUCAAGACGCUUGGACGAGCCUCAAGAGAGAUUUAAAUUCAACAUACUACCUUCUCAAAUCGACAUAUAACAACGACAGUGUUUGGGGAGAGGAAUUUACUUGUAUCAGUGCAAAUGCAACUCUUCUGAAUGAAACAGCGAAAACUGUUACAGCUGAUAUCCGUUACAAAAAUAAAACAACUUAACUCUGCAAACGUCUCACGAAAUAAUUCAGGCCAUUAAGAUGUACAAUUACUCAAUGGAAAAUGGCAUCAAUUAUACAGUAGAGCAAGGUGGUAAAAACAUUACCUUCCAAGACGCUCUUGUUUUCACUAGUGAAGUGUGCGAUAUAUUCUACACUAGUGAUGGAAAUUAUGAACUGUGGGUGCCCGAGAACCAAACUAAAGCGGUACCACCAUGUUGCGACUUCCUCUUUACAUACUUUGCACUUAACAAAACAAUAUACAA